rnacentral:rRNA from 1 species
UACGUAGGGGGCAAGCGUUGUCCGGAUUUAUUGGGCGUAAAGAGCGUGUAGGCGGCCAGACAGGUCUGAUGUGAAAACUCGAGGCUCAACCUCGAGACGCCGGUGGAAACCGUCUGGCUAGAGUCCGGAAGAGGAGAGUGGAAUUCCUGGUGUAGCGGUGAAAUGCGCAGAUAUCAGGAAGAACACCCGUGGCUAAGGCGGCUCUCUAGUACGGUACUGACGCUGAGACGCGAAAGCGUGGGGAGCGAACAGG